rnacentral:lncRNA from 1 species
UUCAUCUUCCAUAAUCCAUAAAUCCAAAUCUAUACUUACAAUACACUUAAGAUGCAUUUAGUUCGGAUAUAAGUAAGAACUGCUUAUUUCAAAGAUAGGUACAAGUUCAGAUAUAAAUAGAAAGUAGACUAAUUUUUCGUUUAAAUAAAAAUAGAAUUGUUCCUAGAAAUAAUAAAAUGAAUAGUAUUUGUAUGGUUACAUUGGAACAAAAGAAACUUAUAAUUUUAAAUUAAAAUUAUUUUAUCUAACUAAUUAACAUCAAAAUAUUACUUAAAAAUAAUAAAUUAAUAUUAAUAAUCAUAAAUAAUAAAUUAAUUAAAAAUUAUAACUAAUAUAUAAUAACAAAUUAUUAAUAAUUAAAUUAUAAAUUAUUAAAUAAUAACAUAAAUUAUAAAUAAUAAAAUUAUUAAUUAAUAAUAAUAUUAAUAUAUUAAAAUUAAUUAAUAAUAAUAAAAUAUUAAUUCAUUAAUUAUUAAUAAUUAUUAAAUAAUAAUCAAUUAAGUAAUAAUAAAUUAAAUAUUUAAUAAUAAUAAAUUAUUAAUAAUUAUAAAUUAACAAAUUAAUUAAUUAAUAUUGAAUUAAUUAAUUAAAUAAUUAUUAAUAAUUAUAAAUAAUAAUAAAUUAAAUAAAUCAAGUAAUUAUAAUUAAUUAAUACUAAAUUAAAUAAAUAAUUAAUUAAGAAUAAAUUAAUUAUAAAUUAAUUAUAAAUUAAUUAAUUAAUAAAUUAAGUAAUUUUUAAUAAUUAUAAAUAAUAAUAAUUUAAUUAAUAAUUAUAAAUAAUAAAUUAGUAUAUUAUUUUAUUAUUUAAACAAAAUUUAAUGAUUUAAAUAUAUUAUUUAAAUUAAUUAAUUAUUUAAUACCAUAAUUAAAAUUAUUUUUAGACUUUAGUCAACGUUAUUCUUACCUGGGAACAAGCUUGUUAUCGGAAAAAGGUGGAACAGCAGUUCUAGCUUUAUACCGGCUUAUUUCAGAAACCCGAGAACUACUGUUCUCGGGUACCUAACGCAGUGUUUGGGAACAAAGGGGGGAACAAGAGUUUAUUCCCUCUCUUGUUUCCGAACUAAA